GAGAGAGAGAGAGAGAGAGAGAGAUAAUAAAACACAAAGGAGGUAGGAAAAUAGUUUAAAAAUGGAGGUGUAGGUGAUUUUCCGGUACACACACACACACACACACACACACACACACACACACACACACACACAUGCACGCACAGUCGCGGAUUCACACUCCCUCAGUACACUUCCUCGCGCCCUUCCUCUCGUGUCCCAAGUUCGAGUCCCGGUAUGGUUGUUCUGCUCGCGCGCCGCCACUCCGCCCCGUCAAGGCAUGGGUGCGGGGGAGUGGAUAAGGGAGACCGCCCCCGCCCGUACCCCGCCCCCCUGUCAACCCCCCACUUUCUGUUAUCAAUACGUGAGUGACUUGCUGUUUGGAAUGUAUGUGUGUUUUUCGUUUAUUUAAGAGACGUUUGUGUGUAGGGGGCUAAUGAAGAAGAAAAGGAGAUGGAUUAGGAGGAGCAUUGGUGUUGAAUAAAAGGUGGAGGAGGAGGAAGAAGAAGAAGAAAGAAAAACAAGAAAAAGAAAAAAAGAAGAGGAAUGGGAGAUAGAGGAGGAGCAUGAAUAUUAAAUAAGAGGAGGAAGAAGAAGAAGAAGAAGAAAAAGAAGAGGAAGGGACAGAUAGAGAAGGAGGAGCAUGGAAAUUGAAUAAGAAAAGGAAGAAGAAGAAGAAAAAGAAGAGAAGGAGGUAGAUGGAGAAGGAGGAGUAUAGUAUGAAGCUGAAUAAAAAGAGGAGGAGGAGGAGGAGGAGGAGGCAACGAGGGUACUGCAUAAGACCAGCUGAAGGCCAAGCAGUGAUGGGAAGGACGGAACAGGUUGACGGACAGGAGACAUUUUUAUCGCGGUUAUGAAUGUUUUACGACGCGCCGCCCUUGCCCGCGACGUAAGGAGGCUUGGCAACCACUAAUGAAUCCCCUUGAGUCAGUGAUCGAUGAGUAUUUGCCUCAGUUUAUUGCCUUCCCUGUUUUACUUGGCAUUUCUGUUUGCUAAAGCGGAACCUUGAGACUUUCUUUUUUUUUUUGGUGGGGGGUAAUUUUAUGUUGUUAUUUUUUGUGGAGCGGAAUCAAGGGAGGAAGGAGAGGAACGAGGAGGGAAUUGAAAGGAAGGGAGGAAAUGCGAAGGAGUGGAGGGAAUGAAAAGGAAAGGAUCGGAAAGAAAAUUGGAUAGGAUAGGAAAGAAAAUGGAAGGAAAAAAUGGAAACGAAAGAAAAGAGGAGGGCAUGAAAAAGGCAUGAAAAGGAAAGGAAAAUACGGAAAAAUAGGAUAGGAAAAGGAAAGGAAAAUAAGGAAAACUGGAAUAGGAAAGGAAAAAAAAUGGAAAUGAAAGAAGAGGGGAGGGAGGGACAGAGCAUGGUAUGGAAGGGAGGGAAUGAAAGGGAAAGGAAAAUAAGGGAAAAUAGGAUAGGAAAAGGAAGGAAAAAAUGGAAAUGGGAGAAGAGGGGAGGGAGGGACAGAGCAUGGUAUGGAAGGGAGGGAAUGGAAAGGAAAGGAAAAUAAGGAAAAUAGGAUAGGAAAAUGAAAGAAAAGAGGAGGAAGGGGCAGGGCAUGGUAUGGAAGGGAAAGGAGAAUAAGGAAAAAAUAGGAUAGGAAAAGGAAGGAAAACUGGAAAAAGGAAACGAAAGGACGAGUGAAAGAAAAAGAGAGAGAGGGAAAGGAAGAAAAUAAGAGAGAAGAAGAAGAAAAUGGAGUAGGGAGAAGAAAUUGAAGAAAAAAAUCACUGGACAUAUAAACACAUCUUACCUUGGAAACACCUGUGCGCGCGAACCAAUUAAACAUGCUUACCCCAAACACAGCCUUAGCAACUAGACGGCUUGGGCAGAUAAACCUUCACCUGGCCAAAACACUCUUACAAGGCUGCCAUACGUGUUCAGGUGCUUGCGUGACCUACAGAUGUCCAGGUGAUUGAUAUACUCACCUGCCAUAAAGGGUAAUUUGACUCCCCUUCCCCUGAUAGCCCUUACGACGAACACUGUUGCUGCCUUCGAAUUUAGUUAACGCAAUGUAAAGCUUAGCAAAAAUAAAGUCGAGGUUAUAUUAUUGAGAGAGAGAGAGAGAGAGAGAGAGAGAGAGAGAGAGAGAGAGAGAGAGAGAGAGAGAGAGAGAGAGAGAGAGAGAGAGAGAGAGAGAGAGAGAGAGUAGUAUAGUUUAGUGGCUAAGAAAGGAAGGGAAGGGAAGGGAAAGAAAGGAAAGGAAAAGGAAGGAGAAAUAAGAGAAGGGGAGAGGAAAACGUAAUACACACACACACACACACACACACACACACGCACACACACACACACACGCACAGCAAAAGACCCAUAAAUUAAAGCAAAGGAGUGAAAGUGGUUAAAUUUACUUGCUUACUUGUGUGUGUGUGUGUGUGUGUGUGUGUGUGUUUAUGUGCUUGCUUGAAACAGAACUAAUAAGAAGGGGAAGAGAUCUUGAGCGGCCCAGAGUUAGUCAUCGUGAGGGGACCGCAUACAGGUAGGAUCUGGGAGGUUGGGUCUCGUCUGAUAAGGUAGGACUGUUCUGUUGUCUGUACACUGACCUCACCUGACCUGACGUUACAUCGAGAGUGAGUAAUAACAAUGGAAAGGUUACAUAUUUGUCUCAGUAUGAUGAAGUCGUGUUGUGACGUCGUAUCAUGUGUAUUAAGAUUGUGUUAAGGGCCGCAUCUUACGUCUGUGUAGCUAACAUGAUAGAGGAGUUUUAAGUAGAAAGCCUUGUUGAUAGAUUAGGUAGUAAAAAAUCUUGUAUCAGGAAAGACUGAAGAUUUAUUAUAUAUUUUUAACGGAGUCUGAGGUAUAUAAAGUGUGCAGUAGAAAGCCUUGUUGAUAGAAUAGAUAGGAAAAAAUCUUGUAUCAGGAAAGACUUAAGAUUUAGUAUAUAUUUUUAACGGAGUCUGAGGUAUAUAAAGUGUUCAGUAGAAAGCCUUGUUGAUAGAAUAGGUAGUAAAAAAUCUUGUAUCAGAAAAGACAAGAUUUAUUAUAUAUUUUUAACGGAGUCUGAGUAUAGAAAGUGUUCUGUAGAAAGCCUUGUUGCUGGAGUAGAAAAAAUCAUUAAGGGGCGUGUCAUUAUAUCAGGAAAGACUUAAGAAUUAUUAUAUAUUUUUAACGGCGUCUGAAAUAUAGAAAGUGUUCAGUAGAAAGCCUUUUUGCUAGAGUAGGUAGAAAAAAAAACAUUAGAUUUGCCUUAUCAUGAAAGAAGAAGAAGAAAACAAGAAAAAUGAAAAGAAGAGAAAGAGUUGAUAGAGGAGGUGAAUGGGAAUUGAAUAAGAGAAGGAGGAAGAGGAAGAAGAAAAGAAAAUGGAAAAGAGGAAGAAUAUAUGGAGAAGAAGAAAAUGAAAAAGAGGAAGAGUUUAUGGAGAAGGAUUAGCAUUCAGAAAAGACUUAGAGCCGAGUAAAGGGUUUAAAUACAUCUAUAAGGUACAAAGGGAAACUGAGACGCCGGAGAGACAAAGGGAAAAGAGAUAAGGUUAAAAUUCAUAUAAGCUACGAUGGGCAAUGACGGUUUUAAGACUUCCCUCGCGACAGUAGGAAAACAGUGCAAUGACGUCACUAUAGGAGAAAGUCUGAGUGUAAAAGAGAAUCAAUUAGACUUCCAGGUAGCCAUGCAGGUGAUAUAGAGGAACACAGGUAACAGUAAUAGUAGUAGUAAUAGUUGAAACGUCACGAUAAUGAUAAAUGACUACAAAAAAGGUUAUUAAACGUUACUGCGAUGACGUCACUGUAGGGAAACGUUUUAGUGUAUAAAGAAUCAAUUAGACGUCCUCGUAGUCAUGCAGGUGAGAUAGAGCAACACAGGUAUGGAUGAUAAAAAAAAUGUAGUCGAUGUGAUUGAAAAGUUCGUAGGAAAUAGUAAAACAAAGAUAAUGAUUUGAGAAGGAGAUAAGAAAUAAGUGAGAUAGAUAGAUACAAAAGAUAAUGAAAUGAGAAGAUAAUAAAGAAGAAAUAGAUAAGAUAGAUAGAAAAGAUAAUGAGAAAUGAGUAAUAGAUAGGAAAUGAGUAAGAUAGAUAGAUACAAAAGAUAAUGAAAUGAGUAGAUAAUAGAUAAGAUAGUAGAUAGAAAAGAUAUGAGAAAUGUGUAAUAGAGAGGAAAUGAGUAAGAUAGAUAGAUACAAAAGAUAAUGAAAUGAGUAGAUAAUAGAGAGGAAGUAGAUGAGAUAGUAUAUAUAAAAGUUAAUGAAAAAUGAGUAAAAAGGAAUUGAUUAGAUUUCCACGCAGCCAGUCAGGUGAAACAAAGGAAACACAGGUAUGAGAAAACGUCACUGUGAUAAUAGACAAAAAAAAAAAAAAAUACGAUAAUUAGUAAAAAUGAAGUAGAAAAAAAUAAUAAAAAGAUAGAAAUAGAUAAAAUGAGAUAAACAUAACGAAACAAACAAGAAAACAGACAAAUACUUAAAAAAAUACGAAAAACAAAAGAAUAACAAGAAAUAAACAAACACAAAAGAAUAACGACAAGAAAUAAACAAAAACAAAAGAAUAACGACAAGAAAUAAACAAAAACAAAAGAAUAACGACAAGAAAUAAACAAAAACAAAAGAAUAACGACAAGAAAUAAACAAAAAACAAAAGAAUAACGACAAGAAAUAAACAAAAAACAAAAGAAUAACGACAAGAAAUAAACAAAA